AGUAAAAUGACCGAGUUAUAAAAGGUAAUAAAUUGUAAAUUUAUGCAGGAAAAUUAUUUUCUUUUACUA
rnacentral:tRNA from 1 species